GAUUACUGGUCCUAAAUACCCUAUAGGCACCAGAUCCCAUCUGAUCUGAACAGGGUUGGCCCUAGUUAGUACUUGGAUAGGUGACCGCCAAUGAAUAGCAGGUGCUGUAGUCU
rnacentral:rRNA from 1 species